CGGCACUCUGUCCUCUGCCGCCGCCCGGCUGCCCACUCCGCGCCUGGAACCCGCGAAGGGCGGCUUUUCGCGGCCAUGGCGCAAAAGCCGAGCCGACGGCAGCCCACCGCGGCGCAGCUGAUGGACCGCAAGCAGCAUGAGCUCUACUUCCAGCAGAUGCGGGAGUUGGAGCACCGCAAGAAGCUGGAGCGCGUCCACCAGCUGGAGGUGAUGUGGGAGGCCGAGGACCGCGUGCAGCAGAAGCGCGUCACGCGGCUGCUGCGGGAAGAGGAACACGAGCAGCGCCUGGAGGAGGCCGUGCGGAAGGCAGAAGAGAGUAAAAGGCUAAAAGACCUGGAAUUGGAGCAGGAAGAAAAACUGGCAACUGAAUUAGCAAGAUUAAACCAUGACAAACUUAAAGAUGAAAAAAUGAGGCAACAAAUCAAAGAAAAUAGUAUUGAACUGCGGGAACUAGAGAGGAAAUUGAAAUCUGCAUAUAUGAAUAAAGAAAGGGCUGUUCAGAUUGCUGAAAAAGAAGCUCUGAAAUAUGAAAAAAUGAAGGAGGAUGCAGAUAUCUACCAAGCAAUGAAGGAAGAGCAAGAAAGAGCAGCCAAGGCAGAGAAUGCUGUUGAAACGAGACGCAAUCAGGAGAAGUUGCUCUAUCAGCAAGAAUUGGAGAAACAGCUGGAGGAAGAGGAGAGGCGGAAGCAGGCUGCUUACAAGGAGUUCCUUAGAGAGAAACUCUUGAUUGAUGAAAUUGUGAGGAAGAUCUAUGAGGAAGAUGAAAAGGCAAGACAAGACAGACUAGAAAAAAAAAGAACCACGCAGAAAUUCAUUGAAGAAUUCAAAAAAGACCAGGCCUUGCGGAGGAGACGACAGCGUGAAGAGAUGGAAGAGGAAAACCAAAAGAUCAUGGAAUUUGCUAACAUGUGGCAGGAGAGAGAAGACAACCGAAUGGCAAAGAUUCAUGAAAAUGAGGAGAAAAAAAGAAAGCUCCAGCAAAUGCUUACAGAAGUUCUGAAAAAAGAGCAGCAGGAGAGAGAGGAACUUGAGCAAAUCCGAGCUGAGUUGCACUUUGAAGAACAGGCUGAAAUAGAGAGGAAGAAGGAGAUGGAAGAGCUGGAGAAGAGGAUCAGGCAGCGCCUAGAGCUCCGGAACUCCUAUGAAGAACAGCUGGCUUCAAGGAAGAUGCUGCUGCAGGCCUUGAAGGAAGAGGAGGCCACCUUUGGCCAGUCCAUGUUAGCCAAAUUUGCAGAUGAUGACCGUAUUGAGCAGAUGAAUGCUCAGAAACGAAGAAUGAAGCAACUGGAACAUAGGAGAGAGGUGGAGAAGCUGAUCCAAGAACGACGCAAACAGGUCAUCGCAGACAAGGAACGUGAACUAGAAGAAAGACAAAUAGAAGAAAGGAGGAGCGGAAUCGUUGCUGACAUUAUUGAGGAAGAGCGGCAGAAGCUUCUUAAAGAACAUGCAGUUAAACUGCUGGGGUAUCUUCCACGAGUAAGUCGAAGCAGGCUAAUGACCAAGUGGUAGGCUUGCUUGGACCAGAGCUGUGGUGGGUGGACAUUAGGCCCCAGCAGGAAGAGUGUGGGGAAUCCUUAAAGAUGAGCAAGAUGUUCACAUGCUUGGAGAAGAGUUCCGGCAAGCUUACCAAAAGAGGCCAGGGGACGGGUUCUCAGAAGUCAACUGAGUUUUCAUUGCUUCACCUGAAGAGCCCACCUAG